CCUUCUUCCUUUAUCAUGGGAGGAAAUUUAACCCUCACGUAGAUGAGAUGAUUCUGUUCUCUCUCUCUCCUCUCUCUCUCUCUCUCUCUCUCCAUGGUGUCACUAUGUAGCCCAGGCUGGCCUUGAAUUCAUGGCGAUCCUCCUGCUUUGGCCUCCCAAAUCCUGAGAGGACAGGCGUGGGCCACUUCACCCACAAAUAAUUUAUGAGUCCAUGAAAUACGGUCUCAUUCCAAAAAUAGUGCUGGCUGUUGUUUUCACUGAAGAAGUAACAGCAACUGUAAAAUGUUCUCUUUGCAGACUCCUCUCUGCGGGUCAGGAACAGGAAAAUACCCUCACUUCCCACAGCGCGCCAGCGUCCGCCGGGAGCCCUUCCGUACCACACCGCGCCAUCCCGUCCCGCCGCGCCUCCCGUGCCUCCCGCUGGAAUCUCCCAGUGGAUGCUGCCGGCUGCCCUGCUGCCCUGCUCGGGAGGUGCAGCGCCUCCACCUCCGGCCCAGGAGACAGCACGUACCGCGGAUCCCGCGCUGCUGCCCGGCGCCUGGCCCGGAGCCCUGAACGCCGGCCAAGCCCCAGCGGACAGCAACAGGCUGGAGAGGGAGCCCGAUCUCCCCAUAAAUCUGGCCGCAGCCCCGCAGCCGGCCGUUAGCUCUGCGGUUAGCUCGCUGUGAGUUCGAGGCCAGCCUGAAUUAUGGAGUGAGAUCCCGUCUCAAGAACACCGAACAAAAACAGACAAACAGACGUCUUGUGGGAACUGUCUCAGAUUUGAUGAAGUUGUUUUCUCCUGGUGGACCUCAGAUGCAACAAGAAAGGUUAAGCGCAGCUCUCAGAUCGUGUUAGCUUUGCACCCAGAGCCUCUGGUUUUCUCUAACACUUCUGCCUGCUGACUUUCUAGCUCCCGCUUUCGGUCCUGGUCCACAGUCCAUCCUGGGUUGCGGUGCUAGGUUUAUGGGAUUCGAUGGAGGCCAAGUUUUGUUCCUCUGGGGGGAGCCCCCCUCCGAUUUUUACCCAAUUAGCUGUUUUUGUUGGUCCCUUCCUGCAGGCCAACUUUACUGGAAGCCUCACACUGAUUUGGGGCAGAGACUGGGGGGCCUCCCGGGGAGCGCCUGGUCCUAGACUCCUUGAACUAAAUGUUUUUCACAGAGAACGUGUGGAUUCUUCAUUGAGCUGCUUCUUAGAUACUUUAUAAUUUUUGUUGCUGUUUGGGAAUGGAAUCCUAUGUUUAAACAUUAUGAUUUCUGUUGUAGUUGCUUCGGGGAGGACACAGGUAGACAUUUCUCAGUAAAGGUGGAUACCUGGAGUUUGCAGGCAGGAAAGGUGCUUGGAAGCCCCCUGCCCGGGUCCCGGCACGGCGCAGAGUUUCUCUCAUCCUGUCCGUCACCGAGCACCCCCGGCCUCUGAGGUGUUCCGCAGUCCGAUCCUCUCCCCUCCCAGCCUCUUCC
rnacentral:lncRNA from 1 species